rnacentral:tRNA from 1 species
GGUCUCAUGGUGUAACGGUCAGCAGUCUGAACUCUAAAUCCAGCAGUCAGAGCUCAAAUCUCAGUGAGACAU